rnacentral:rRNA from 1 species
UAGUCCACGCCGUAAACGAUGAAUGCUAGGUGUCGGGGUCGAACCUCGGUGCCGCAGUUAACGCAAUAAGCAUUCCACCUGGGGAGUACGAUCGCAAGAUUGAAACUCAAAGGAAUUGACGGGGGCCCGCACAAGCGGUGGAGCAUGUGGUUUAAUUCGAAGCAACGCGAAGAACCUUACCAAAUCUUGACAUCCCGAUGACCGGCAUUUAAUUUUGCCUUUUCUUCGGAACAUCGGUGACAGGUGGUGCAUGGUUGUCGUCAGCUCGUGUCGUGAGAUGUUGGGUUAAGUCCCGCAACGAGCGCAACCCUUAUCUUUAGUAGCCAGCAUUUCGGAUGGGAACUCUAGAGAGACUGCCGGGGACAACUCGGAGGAAGGUGGGGAUGACGUCAAAUCAUCAUGCCCCUUAUGAUUUGGGGCUACACACGUGCUACAAUGGUGGGAUACAAAGGGGAA